CAGCAGCCACGGGAAAACCAGCAGCCCAAGUGGUGGUCGCGCUUAUUGGGCCUAAAGCGCUCGUAGCCUGGCCGGUAAGUUCCCCGUGAAAUCGGGUCGCCCAACGAUUCGGCUUGCGGGGAAUACUGUCGGUCUUGGGGCCGGGAGACGCCGAGGGUACUCCGGGGGUAGCGGUGAAAUGCUGUAAUCCUCGGGGGACUACCAGUGGCGAAGGCGCUCGGCGAUAACGGGCCUGACGGUGAGGGGCGAAAGCUGGGGGCGCGAACGGGAUUAGAUACCCGUGUAGUCCCUGUCUCUUAUU
rnacentral:rRNA from 1 species